rnacentral:rRNA from 1 species
AGUGAACGCUGGCGGUAGGCCUAACACAUGCAAGUCGAACGGCAGCACAGGAGAGCUUGCUCUCUAGGUGGCGAGUGGCGGACGGGUGAGGAAUACAUCGGAAUCUACUCUGUCGUGGGGGAUAACGUAGGGAAACUUACGCUAAUACCGCAUACGACCUACGGGUGAAAGCAGGGGACCUUCGGGCCUUGCGCGAUUGAAUGAGCCGAUGUCGGAUUAGCUAGUUGGCGGGGUAAAGGCCCACCAAGGCGACGAUCCGUAGCUGGUCUGAGAGGAUGGUCAGACACACUGGAACUGAGACACGGUCCAGACUCCAACGGGAGGCAGCAGUGGGGAAUAUUGGACAAUGGGCGCAAGCCUGAUCCAGCCAUACCGCGUGGGUGAAGAAGGCCUUCGGGUUGUAAAGCCCUUUUGUUGGGAAAGAAAUCCAGCUGGCUAAUACCCGGUUGGGAUGACGGUACCCAAAGAAUAAGCACCGGCUAACUUCGUGCCAGCCGCCGCCGUAA